rnacentral:rRNA from 1 species
UACGUAGGCAGCAAGCGUUGUUCGGAGUUACUGGGCGUAAAGGGCGCGUAGGCGGCCUUCUAAGUCGAACGUGAAAUCCCCGGGCUCAACCCGGGAACUGCGUCCGAUACUGGAAGGCUUGAAUCCGGGAGAGGGAUGCGGAAUUCCAGGUGUAGCGGUGAAAUGCGUAGAUAUCUGGAGGAACACCGGUGGCGAAGGCGGCAUCCUGGACCGGCAUUGACGCUGAGGCGCGAAAGCCAGGGGAGCAAACGGG